rnacentral:sRNA from 1 species
UUUUCGUCUGCAGAAAAGAGGAUGAGGACCUCCGAAGGAGGUUUGAGCCGAGCGUAGCGAGACAACGUUGCUUCAGCAACGGCCCGCAGGGCGCUGCUCGCAGA